rnacentral:lncRNA from 1 species
GGGAGGGACUUCCGGCGCUUCCUCUUGCAGUGUUUGAAUAACUUCGAGUUGUUCGCGGGUUAAUGGGCAGAGCGUCUUUUGGGGGACACCGAGGUGACGGAGCGGAAAAGCCGGAGAAGAGGCGUGGUUCCCGCUGCCCAGAAGCGGAUGCGAGGCCCUCUGAACCCGUAGUUGACGGCGGUGCCCUCGUUCCCGUCCCGCUCACCACCUCCCCAGUCCCCGCUCUUCCCACGGCAGGUGGCAAAGGCAGCGCCGAUGAGCCCGGCUCAGCAUGCAGAAUUUCCCCGGCCAGGAAUCGAACCCACGCUACAUCAGUGACAAUGCUGGAUCCAUAACCUCUAGGCCACCAGGGAACUCCCCAAAGUUAGAAGUUUAAAUUUUGGAAAACUGGAUGCCAAUGGAGGCAGGGAGACUGCGGAGGAGACGACCACGAUAGAACCAAGGAGAAUUAUGGUAGGGGCUGGACGAGGGUGGUUUCGGGACAGGGGAAAUACGAAGAGAUUCUCCUUCAAAGAAGGAGCAGUUGGAUUCCCUCAUUUGUAGAAUACGAUUGUAAGCAAAGGCGGGAAUGAAACACCAUCCCAAAGUUUUUGCCCGAAUAUCUGAAAAAGCACGUAGAUGGGCAGGUUGCUGCAAUGAGCAGGUUCGGGGAGUAAGAUGGUGAGUUGUUCUUGGACAUGUUGGUCCCGAGAUGUUUCGAGAUCACCAUAUGGUUCACCAAAUGGAGACACUAUACGUGGAGGAGAAGGUAAGAGUCUGGAGGCAGAGGAAGGAGGCGGGAUGGGAGACCUCAAAGGAGUGGCGGGUGUGGACGGGCCAGGGCGUGGCCUGGGGAUGGGAUUGAGGAGGCACUCUUAGGACUGUGACUUGAGAUGGACCCUGUGGUGAGGGAGGGCAGGAGAUGGGGGGCAGGUGUCCGCAUCCCUGAUGGGCCACAGACAAGAGCAGGCCUGGCGCAGGAGGAUCGUGGCCUGUGUGAAGAAAAGGAGGGCUGGACGGGACAGGGCGCUUCCCUGCAGUGGCGCCUGCAGUGUGUGCUGGUGUGGGUCCUCCACUUGCAGGCUCUGCUGAGCCCAGGGCCACUUGAGAUAGAACAAGGGGAAGGCGGGCCAGGCUGGCGCAGCCACUGCGUCCUAGACCAGGGCCCUGCCACCUCACCUCCACCCCCGAGGGCCAGAGAGGUGGUCCCCUGCUUCAGUCAAGGGCUCCCCUGCUCCCUUUUGAGGCUGACUUAGUAGGUAGGCCGGGUUGCUGAAUGGACUAAUAGCUGACUUACCUGCCCAGCUCUUCCUUACAGCUCAUUAACUAAGAGUGUGUGAAAGGCUACUUCCUGUUGUGGCUCAGCAGGUUAAGAACCCAACAUAGUAUCCAUGAGGAGAUUGGUUCAAUCCCUAGCCUCGCUCAGUCUGUGGCAUAGAUUGCAGAUGGAGAUGUGGCUCAGAUCUGUUGUUACUGUGUCUGUGGCAUAGGCCUGCAAUUGCAGUUCCAUUUCAAUCUAUAGCCCGGGCAACUUCGAUAUGCUGCAGGUGCGGCUGUAUUUAAAAAAGGUAUGAAACAUUUAUUAAUUUAUACAUUAAUUAGGAGUUCCUUGGUGGCUCAGUGGGUAAAGGAUCUGGCACUGUCAUCACUGUGGCACUGAUUCCCUCCCUGGCGCAGGAAUUUCUGCAUGCUAUGGGUAAGGCCAAAGGGGGAAAAAGAUUUAAAAAGUAAAUAGGAUGUCCCAUUGUGACUCAUCGGGUUAAAAACCUGACUGAUAUCCAUGGAAGGUGCGGGUUUGAUCUCUGACUUUGUUCAGUGGGUUAGGAUCCAGAGUUGCCAGAAGCUGCAUCAUAGGUUGCAAAUGAAGCUCAAAUCCUAUGUUGCUGUGAUGUAGCCUGCAAUUGCAGCUUUGAUUUUAGCCCCAGCCCAUGAACGUCUGUAUGCUGCAGGUGUGGCUCUAAAAAGAAAAAAAAGAAACUAAUUAACUAAUAUUCCUCUAAAUGCAUAUCUACAGGCGAUUAGAAAUGAUCCUCUAGCCUCGGUUAAACGUAUGCAAACAUUUUUGAUUGGCUCUGCAUUGAAUUACCUCUAGGUAUUUACUUACAAUGCAAAGUUUUGUAUAUAGCAGCCUCUGAAAUCUUAAGAAGAAGUGAAAAUGGGAGUUGCCGUUGUGGCUCAGUGGUUAACCAAUUCGACUAGAAACCGUGACGUUGCGGGUUUGAUCCCUGGCCUCGCUCGGUGGGUUGAGGAUCCGGUGUGGCCGUGAGCUGUGGUGUAGGUCGCAGAUGCGGCUCGGAUCCUGCUUUGCUGUGGCUGUGGUGUAGGCCAGUUUCUGCAGCUCUGAUUAGACCCCUAGCCUGGGAACCUCCAUAUGCCAUGAGUGCCACCCUAGAAAAA